rnacentral:sRNA from 3 species
GCUUAGCCCUGAUAGAAGUGGAAAUCCUUUUGUGCCGGGGUUCGGCAGAAAAGAUUGAAACGGAUAGCAGGAAAUUGC